rnacentral:rRNA from 1 species
GCAGAGAUUUAAACUCGUACCUUUUGCAUCAUGAUUUAGCUAGAAAGCCUCGAGCGAAGAGAACUUUAGUUUGCUUUCCCGAAACUAAGUGAGCUACUCCAAGACAGCCUAUCAAUAGGGCCAACCCGUCUCUGUGGCAAAAGAGUGGGAAGAGCUUUGAGUAGAGGUGACAGACCUACCGAACUUAGUUAUAGCUGGUUGCCUGAGAAAUGAAUAGAAGUUCAGCCUCCCGGCUUCUUUCCAAACCGAGAGAGUUAUUCAAAGGGGGUACAGCCCCUUUGAAAUAAGAUACAACUUUAUCAGGAGGAUUAAGAUCAUAUUAAAAUAAAGGCAAAAUGUUCUGGUGGGCCUAAAAGCAGCCAUCCUUACAGAAAGCGUUAAAGCUCAGAUAUACUAUCCUGAUAACCAAAUCUUACUCCCCUAACCCUACCGGGCCGCCCCAUGCAAACAUGGGAGCGACCAUGCUAAUAUGAGUAAUAAGAGAGGCCUCUCUCCUUGCACGAGUGUAAAUCAAAACGGACCUCCCAUCGAAUCUUAACGGCCCCAACCAAAGAGGGACAUGGACAACAACCAGAAGACCAUCCACCGUUAACCCCACACUGGUGUGCCCCCAAGGAAAGACUAAAAGAAAAAGAAGGAACUCGGCAAACAAGCCUCGCCUGUUUACCAAAAACAUCGCCUCUUGCAUGAAUAAGAGGUCCCGCCUGCCCUGUGACUCUAAGUUUAACGGCCGCGGUAUUUUGACCGUGCGAAGGUAGCGCAAUCACUUGUCUUUUAAAUGGAGACCUGUAUGAAUGGCAUAACGAGGGCUUAGCUGUCUCCUUUCUCUAGUCAAUGAAAUUGAUCUCCCCGUGCAGAAGCGGGGAUAGAACCAUAAGACGAGAAGACCCUAUGGAGCUUUAGACGCCAAGACAGACCAUGUUAAACACCUCCCCAUAAGGAGCCCAAACCAAAUGGUCCCUGCCCUAGUGUCUUUGGUUGGGGCGACCGCGGGGAAACAUAAAACCCCCAUGUGGAAUGGGAGCACUCCUACAACUAAGAGCUACAGCUCUAAUGAACAGAAUUUCUGACCAACAAGAUCCGGCAAUGCCGAUCAACGGACCGAGUUACCCUAGGGAUAACAGCGCAAUCCCCUUUUAGAGCCCAUAUCGACAAGGGGGUUUACGACCUCGAUGUUGGAUCAGGACAUCCUAAUGGUGCAG